rnacentral:lncRNA from 1 species
UAAUAUCCAAGAAACCUUUGUCUUGAGCUAUUUGAAGACAAUACCUUAGAUAAUCUUGUGUUCUUUCCAUCCUCAUCUUGUACAUGGCCCUCAGUUCCUUCUGCUUUCCCAGCUCACUUUCUAGUUCUACCACCUUAAUUCACAUUUUCAGUUAAAUAUUAAAUUGCUAUUACAACAAAUAUGCUAUAUAUGUUCAACGCAUGUUCAUUCAAGAAUUAUAUAUUAUAUAAAUGAGAAUAUGCGUAUAUGCAUGUUCAUUCAGAAUUAUUAUAGAUGCUUUGAUUCAUGAGUACUCCAAGAAGUACUUGCCAACAUGCAUAUAUAAAUCAUACAUGAUAUAUACACGU